AUUUUUUUAGUAUAAAUGUACAGGUUACUUCCAAUCACCCGGUCUUGGUUAAACCCCCAAGAGAAAAUA
rnacentral:tRNA from 1 species